rnacentral:rRNA from 1 species
AGAGUUUGAUCAUGGCUCAGGACGAACGCUGGCGGCGUGCUUAACACAUGCAAGUCGAACGGUGAACCGGGCUUCGGCCCGGGGAUCAGUGGCGAACGGGUGCGUAACACGUGGGCAACCUGCCCCAGACACUGGGAUAACUCCGGGAAACCGGGGCUAAUACCGGAUACUCCGGCUGAACCUCAUGGUUCGAUCGGGAAAGCUCCGACGGUCUGGGAUGGGCCCGCGGCCUAUCAGCUUGUUGGCGAGGUAACGGCUCACCAAGGCGACGACGGGUAGCUGGUCUGAGAGGACGACCAGCCACACUGGAACUGAGAUACGGUCCAGACUCCUACGGGAGGCAGCAGUGGGGAAUCUUGCACAAUGGGCGAAAGCCUGAUGCAGCGACGCCGCGUGGGGGACGAAUGCCUUCGGGUUGUAAACCCCUUUCGGCAGGGAAGAAGCGCAAGUGACGGUACCUGCAGAAGAAGUCCCGGCUAACUACGUGCCAGCCGCCGCGGUAAUAC